GAUGAACGCUGGCGGCGUGCCUAAUACAUGCAAGUCGAGCGAACAGAUAAGGAGCUUGCUCCUUUUACGUUAGCGGCGGACGGGUGAGUAACACGUGGAUAACCUACCUAUAAGACUGGGAUAACUUCGGGAAACCGGAGCUAAUACCGGAUAACAUAUUGAACCGCAUGGUUCAAUAGUGAAAGGCGGCUUUGCUGUCACUUAUAGAUGGAUCCGCGCCGUAUUAGCUAGUUGGUAAGGUAACGGCUUACCAAGGCAACGAUACGUAGCCGACCUGAGAGGGUGAUCGGCCACACUGGAACUGAGACACGGUCCAGACUCCUACGGGAGGCAGCAGUAGGGAAUAUUCCGCAAUGGGCGAAAGCCUGACGGAGCAACGCCGCGUGAGUGAUGAAGGUCUUCGGAUCGUAAAACUCUGUUAUCAGGGAAGAACAAAUGUGUAAGUAACUGUGCACAUCUUGACGGUACCUGAUCAGAAAGCCACGGCUAACUACGUG
rnacentral:rRNA from 1 species